rnacentral:RNase_P_RNA from 1 species
AAAGUUAGCGUUUGAGACGAGGUAAACCCCACAAGCGGGCAACCCAAACUUUUGGUAGGGGCGGCUAAUCUAGCGAAUUGAAGCGAUGGUUGGUAUGGUUUGAUUACAAACUUAGAUAGAUGAUUACCGAAAGUGAUAUGUACCUGCAUAUCACUGGAACAAAACAUGGCCUAUAGAU